rnacentral:snoRNA from 1 species
AUCCUUCGGUUCAUUGAAAUGAUGAUCGGUGAUUUCACGGACUGUCCGUGACAGGUGCGACCCUCACUUGUUACGCAUCGUGCCUCAGCCUUUCUGACU